AUGGUGAUGGCCUUUCUAAGGCUGGUGGCGGCAUGGGACACCUCCUCCACCUCCAGAUUGGGUUCAAUCCAACUCAUCGAGGGCUACGUGCAGCGACUCUUUCGGAUGCACCAAGUCAUGCAUGUUGCCGACAGGCGAGGUGGCAUGGGACAUCUUUGUGUUGUGGUAUCUUCUCUAGAGGUAUCCUGCUAUCGAGGCCUCGGUAGGAGAACAAGGGAUGAUAGUAGAGGCUGCUUCAACCCGCUUCCGGUGAAACACAAGAUCUACAAUCAGGCUAUGUCGACGCGCAUGUACGUCAUGUCCUUGUUGAAGAUGAUGGAUUUAAGCUCGGCUUUGGGAAUGAAAAUUCUGAGACCGACCUAUGGUUGGACUCAGUGGCGGAGACAUGGGACCAGCAGGGCCCCUGGCCCCCCUAACACCAGAGGGCGGCGACGCGCAUGGAGGAGGAGAGAAUGGAGAGGCGUGGAGGAUAGGCGGGCGAGCUGGAAGGGCCGGCACGUCGCCCACGACACAGAUGAGACCAACGGCGGCCUUGCAGGGGCGCGUUGGCGAGGACCUUUCGAAUCUCACCGAAUCCGAUGGGAAAUGGCGCGCAGGCAACGGAGAGAGAUGAGUGGGAGAGAAAAGGGAGGCCGGGAGGAAGGAGAUGGGACGCUGGAGGGAGAGAAAGGAGCCGUGAGGUGCGUUGUGGUCCUGCUGCUGCCCGCCGGCGGCUCGGCGGCAAUCGGCGCGAGGUGGGGGCUCUGUCCGGCGGUUUCCCAGAACAUCGACUACCGGAAGGCCAAGGAAGAGCGGUGGAUGGCUGCACUGGCGGAGUUUAGUGUAUUGCUAGAGGGGCUGUGGCCCCCCAGCCUUGGACAAUUUUCCCCCCAAGCAUUCUGGUGUAGCUCCGCCACUGGAUGGCUGGCAGCGCCUUCAAGCUCAUACAGAUCGACUAGGAGUUCAACAUCUUCCACGAUCAUCUGUGACCCCGUGUCAUCACAUCAUGUUUCCCCGCGUCGUCCUCCCCCUAGGGCGACUUGGGCGGCCAGAAACCUAGCCGUCUCCGCGCAAACUCCCUCCUCCUCUCCCUCCGCCGUCGCCAGAAGACGCCGCCGGGCUAAGCCCGAGGGCCGACGGCGGUGGCGGGGGAUCUCCUCUCUCGCGCGUCUCCGGGGUGGGGCGGACCACAAAGCGUGUGGUGGCGCGACCGAUCUGGGAUCUGCGGCGCGGCGGAUGGCUGCAGGCGGCGGGAGGCCGUCCCGUCCUCGGACGGCGACGGCUUGGCGCGGCGGAGGCCAGGGCUGCGGGCGCUGCGUAUGGCCCUUCGGGCGGCGGCGGCGGCUGCGGUCGGUGGCGGCCGGCUUGGCGGCGGUGGUUUUGAGCCACAAUCUGUAUCUACCGGCAAAGCUAUCAUCUGACGGCAAACAUGGUGGCCUUCCUCUCAUCAUUGCAAUUGAUCUGCAACCGUUGGCUCCGAUAGAAGGUGUUAUACAGGUGCAGGGCAACAUCAUCAAUGCUCGGACAGCGGAAGUGGUUAUCAGGCACUUUGAUGGAUGUAAAGCAGACUUGGUUGUCUGUGAUGGCGCCCCUGAUGUUAAGCUUGCAUUGCUAGAGAAGUGGUCCAUAACCAUCUUACAUGUGCUAAAGAUACUUCUGUUUCUUACUUUGCUUUGGAUGAUUGCAUUUACUGGACUUCAUGAUAUGGACGAGUUUGUUCAGUCCCAGCUUAUAUUGGCGCUUAGAAUCCUCACCUACGACAGUUCUCCUGGUGACCAUCCACCCGAAGUUCAUCUCCCUACCACUCUGUUCAGUACUUCUCUCCCCCAUACACCCUUGGCAGAUCCACCUGUCUCUCUCAUCUUACUCACAACUGAUUGUUGUUGUUUUGCUGCAGAGUUUGUGACAGAACAGAGAAUUGUUACAGCUCAGAUCAUAGACAAAUCUUAUGUUGCAACAACAGGUUUGGAGGUUAUGCUGAGAAUUAAAAUGUCAAGGCAAGGGCGUGCACUUUUCACUAUCAAUCUUAGAGUAAGCGCCUGCAGGAUGUGCAUGCUACUUCUGAAAAAAGAAACCUCUCUGUUGGCUGGCAUCCCUGGUGGUAGUUUUACAUAUCUAGCAAAUGAAAGGGCACCUCAUAAUACAUUGGAUAUAGACUGUACCACUGGUCUUGGGGUUCAGAUUCUGUCAAUAUCAAAAUCUAGAAAUUCUGCUACCCAACAGGAUGGUUUGCCAACUGCUGUUAAGGUCAGAAAUUCUGCUACCCAACAGGAUGGUUUGCCAACUGCUGUUAAGCAUUGGAAUUUGCUGGAGCGGCCCGAUGUAGCGGCUGCCAUGGACGGAGGCCUUGCGCUUGGCCGGCACGCCGAUGCAGAGGAGGCGCGAGGGAGAGGAGAGGAGCACGGGGAAGAAGGAGGCGGCGGAGAAGGGUUCGUCACCGGCGUGGCAGCGCUCUCCGGUCUGAGCGGCUUGCGGGAUCGGGGCAAGGAGCGCUCGCUCCUCUGUGUGUUGUGUGCAUGUGACACGACGCGAGGGGAUCUAGAGGGUUCGAGGGGAUAG
rnacentral:rRNA from 1 species